AGGAUGAGCUCCAAGUCUUGGCGGAGGGGGCCUCGAUCCCAGUUGCGGUGCCCUCUCAAGGCGACCUUUCGGCCUUGUGGAGCGGGAGCGAGAAGCCCUCGGACACGGCGGAGGAUGGCGAGGAGAUAAAGAUUCAAACCAGGACAACCACGCAGACGUAGGGAGACCAACCUGAGCCGAGAUUCCAACUCUGUACUUCCUGAACCCGAGGCAGAACGUGCUAACCACCAUGCCAUCGUGCUGCCUUUGCGAAUUCCCGCCAUGAUGCUGAUGAUCAAGAAAUGUCUUUUUGAAGCCUAAACAGCCGACUUGGCAGUCCGACGGACGGAGCCCAUUUGCCGGCCGAGGGCGCCCUGCCAGAGCGGGACUACGAACAGCAGCAGCAGCAGCAGCGGCGGCGUCAGUUCAGCCCGGGCCCUCGCACCACCAUGUUCCGCAUCCCGGAGUUCAAGUGGUCGCCCCUGCACCAGAGGCUCCUGGCCGACCUGCUCUUUGCCCUGGAGAGCGACGUGCACGUCUGGAGGUCGGCGCGCGCUCGCGCUCGCACACGCACGUGUCGACUCGCUUUAACGGGGGUACAA